UACAGAGGUCUCAAGCGUUGUCCGGAAUCAUUGGGCGUAAAGAGCUCGUAGGUGGUCUGUUACGUCUGCUGUGAAAUCCUAGGGCUUAACCCUGGGCCUGCAGUGGAUACGGGCAGACUAGAGGUAGGUAGGGGAGAAUGGAAUUCCCGGUGUAGCGGUGAAAUGCGCAGAUAUCGGGAGGAACACCGGUGGCGAAGGCGGUUCUCUGGGCCUUACCUGACACUGAGGAGCGAAAGCGUGGGGAGCGAACAGG
rnacentral:rRNA from 1 species